rnacentral:rRNA from 1 species
GUCUACGGCCAUACCACCCUGAACGCGCCCGAUCUCGUCUGAUCUCGGAAGCUAAGCAGGGUCGGGCCUGGUUAGUACUUGGAUGGGAGAAGGUGGGCUUAAGAGA